UACGUAGGGUGCAAGCGUUGUCCGGAAUUAUUGGGCGUAAAGAGCUCGUAGGCGGUUUGUCGCGUCUGCUGUGAAAUCCCGAGGCUCAACCUCGGGCCUGCAGUGGGUACGGGCAGACUAGAGUGCGGUAGGGGAGAUUGGAAUUCCUGGUGUAGCGGUGGAAUGCGCAGAUAUCAGGAGGAACACCGAUGGCGAAGGCAGAUCUCUGGGCCGAUACUGACGCUGAGGAGCGAAAGCGUGGGGAGCGAACAGG
rnacentral:rRNA from 1 species